CCUGGUGGUUAUGGCGGAGCGGCUGCACCCGAUCCCAUUCCGAACUCGGCCGUGAAACGCUCCAGCGCUGAUGGUACUUCGUCUCAAGACGCGGGAGAGUAAGUCGCUGCCAGGUCUGCCAA
rnacentral:rRNA from 1 species